rnacentral:rRNA from 1 species
UUUCCGGUUGAUCCUGCCGGACCUGACUGCUAUCGGAUUGAUACUAAGCCAUGCGAGUCAUUGUAGCAAUACAAGGCAUACGGCUCAGUAACGCGUAGUCAACCUAACCUAUGGACGGGAAUAACCUCGGGAAACUGAGAAUAAUGCCCGAUAGAACAUUAUGCCUGGAAUGGUUUAUGUUCCAAAUGAUUUAUCGCCGUAGGAUGGGACUGCGGCCUAUCAGUUUGUUGGUGAGGUAAUGGCCCACCAAGACUAUUACAGGUACGGGCUCUGAGAGGAGUAGCCCGGAGAUGGGUACUGAGACACGGACCCAGGCCCUAUGGGGCGCAGCAGGCGAGAAAACUUUGCAAUGUGCGAAAGCACGACAAGGUUAAUCCGAGUGGUUUCUGCUAAAGAAACCUUUUGUCAGUCCUAGAAACACUGAUGAAUAAGGGGUGGGCAAGUUCUGGUGUCAGCCGCCGCGGUAAAACCAGCACCUCAAGUGGUCAGGAUGAUUAUUGGGCCUAAAGCAUCCGUAGCCGGCUCUGUAAGUUUUCGGUUAAAUCUGUACGCUCAACGUACAGGCUGCCGGGAAUUCUGCAGAGCUAGGG